GGGGUUGCAAAGAGUCAGACAUGACUCAUGAGUCCACACACAGGCAGGCACUGCCAACUGCCUUUCUAUUAGAAGGGACUCUGGAAAUACCUUCUACUUUGGCCACUGUUGCUCUUUUGCAAAGGUGAAAUCCCCCCUGCCAUUUUAAAAUAGCUGAACAAGAGGCUAUAACUUCUGCUAUCUUUCUGAAUCUAUAGGAUUCAGCAGCCAGGAUGCUUACAAAAUGAGAUUGCUAUAAAUAUGAUGAAUUCCGCAGCUAAACUUGGCAACAAUCAUGUAUUUUGUGUAAAUAGAGAUUAUACCACUUUUCUCCAAAGGAAGUCUUUAAAAUCUGUUUUUGUUUUUUUUUGUCUAAUGCGGGGGAGGGCUUUUUGUUUGGGAGGCAGAUACUUUGAACUAUUUUAUAUUUAUGUUAUCUAAAUAUUUGUUGAUUUAUAUUAUUUGCACAGUCCCUACUUUUAAGGAGGACUUGAGGCAGCAUAUUGCCCUUGGAUUUCAGCUGUUUCUGUUUUUCUGUUGAAAGCCAUAUUCUUUGAUAGAAGACCUGAAAUGUUACAGUACUCAUCUCCAGGUCUUUCCUGGCUGUAGUUGAUAUCCAUAUGCUUGAUGCUUAUAGUGAUUCAGAGGUCAGUUGAAACAUUCUUAAUUACACUGUGGGAGUGAUUCUAGCCCCUCAGGAAAAAAAAAGAAUUAUUGUACCCUUGAAUUUUGAGACCAUUUUCAGUUGCUGCAAAUGUGUUUAUAUUAAAUUUAAUUUUAAACAUUCAUUAAAUAGUGCAACCAGGGAAGAUCAGCUAAACCAUGCCACUAUUUGGGGAACUAUUGCAAUAUAAUAUCAACUGCUCCUUUCUGUGAAGUUUAACUAGAUGGGAGAAAAAUUCCAAAGCUAUAAUAUUGCAAUCUUAUUCUUUUUAUCUAGAAAAAUAAAAUAUUAGGCUUCAGACCCAAUUGUGCAAAUUGCAUUUGCUUUCCAGCUUUUACUACCUCUGUGUCAUAAUUUUAACACAUAACAUACAACUCCUGUCUCUUAAGGCGGUUACCAUAUGGUGUUUAUGUCAGACUGGAUAUAUUUAUCUAAUUUUGUGAGAUUCUUUUUUAGCUCCUGACACAGUUCUUGAAAGUAAUACUGCUGUUGUUACACUUUCUCCUUGCAAUUUUUAUGUUAUUGAGAUAUAUCAGUUAUGUAUUAUUAUCAUGAAAGUCUCUUGGCCUCAAACCCAAAUUUUCUUUGUGGCCUAGGAUAGAUUUUUCACAAAAACCACGUAGUUAUAGCUGUGAUUACAUAGCUUCUUAAUUUGCCUUACAGUUACCACUCAGCAUGAUUCUAGGUUUUUAAUUAUGUUCCAGCAGUACUAGUUUUCUAGUAUAAAAGUCACAACCAAUUUGAGAGUUUACUUUCAGAUAUGAUAAAUUAUUCAUGUUUUCCUUCAUAUACUUGGUUGCGUCCUCCUCCUGACGAGGUUCAACACAUCAGUGACCUCCCACUCCCAUGUCAUUGACUCUGUUUAAAAACCAAACAUUCGUAUCAACUUGGAAAAACUUUUCAUAAAAUACAAUAAUGGAGAUGUGUUUUUGAGACCUUUUUUGAAACUAUUAAUAUCUGAAACAAAAAGGAUAUACAUCUAGAAAGAUAUUAUGAAACAUCUCUUAGUAGUUUAGAAAAAAAGAGUUACAACUUUGUGUUAAAAUUGCAGGUCAAGUAGAAAACAUAAUCCUCAUCUCAGGUAGACUCCCUGAAUUAUCUUUUAUGAGCACUCAUUUAUUUUUAAUUUAGUUAAGCUAAUUUUGAAACCGCCUACCUAUAACAAUGCCAGACUAUCCCUCUACCUCUCAAAGACAAAUAGUUUUAAUUUUUUUGAAAACCUGGCUUGUAUAAUAAAUGUAUAAUACUGAAAGAUUCCUCCAUAGUAUUUACAGAAGUCAAGUGUAGUUGUAAAUUUUUCUUUUAAUUUUAAUCAUUUAUGGAGGACCUAGUUUGGGUUAGCCAGGGCUUUGCCUAUAUUAUUCCUUUUAAUUCUCACAGCAGUUCCUGCAAGGAAGGUAUAAAUUAUACUCAUUUUACCAAGGAGGAAGUCAAGAUUUAGAGAGUGAAGUGACUUUUACUUAGAGUCACACAGCUGAAGUACAUUUAUUUCAAAAGCAGUUUUUUUUCCCCCCACACAAUGCUAGAUUAACAUUUUACAGAAAAGUUCUUCAGUCCAUUAAAAUCCAAGCCUUACUGAAAUACAUUGAAAAUGCUUUUUACAUAAUUACUAUUUCUGUGGGUAGGCAUUGCGACAAAAACACUUGGACAUAACAGAGAACACUGAAAUACUGUGAGGAAAAAGAUGUGUCUAAGGACUGUAACCUCCACAGAACACUGAAAUACUGUGAGGAAGAAGAUGUGUCUAAGGACUGUAACCUCCAGAAUGGCACUGGGUUUUUAUUUGGUCUGAGAAGAGCUCAAAACAUCUUACUGACUUAUAGUUUAAGGUAUUAUAACCAAUAGCAUAGUGGUUAACAGC
ensembl:lncRNA